rnacentral:rRNA from 1 species
GAUGAACGCUGGCGGCGUGCUUAACACAUGCAAGUCGAGCGAAAAGAUGCGGAGCUUGCUCCUCGAACGUUAGCCGCGGACGUGUGACUAACGCGUGGAUCCCCUACCUAUAAGACUGGGAUCACUUCCGGAAACCGGAGCUAAUACCGGCUAAUAUUUUCAACCGCAUGGUUCAAUAGUGAAAUUCGGUUUUGCUGUUACUUAUGGCUGGUUCCGCGACGGAUUAGUUAGUUGGUAAGGUAACGGCUUACCAAGGCAACGAUGCGUAGCCGACCUGAGAGGGUGAUCAGCCACACUGGAACUGAGACACGGUCCAGACUCCUACGGGAGGCAGCAGUAGGGAAUCUUCCGCAAUGGGCGAAAGCCUGACGGAGCAACGCCGCGUGAGUGAUGAAGGUCUUCGGAUCGUAAAACGCUUUUAUUGGGGAAGAACAAAUGUGUAAGUAACUAGGCAGGUCUUGACGGUACCUAAACAGAAAGCCACGGCUAACUACGUG